GAUGAAGAACGUAGCGAAAUGCGAUAAGUAAUGUGAAUUGCAGAAUUCAGUGAAUCAUCGAAUCUUUGAACGCACAUUGCGCCCGCCAGUAUUCUGGCGGGCAUGCCUGUCUGAGCGUCAUUUCAACCCUCAUGCCCCUAGGGCGUGGUGUUGGGGAUCGGCCAAAGCCCGCGAGGGACGGCCGGCCCCUAAAUCUAGUGGCGGACCCGUCGUGGCCUCCUCUGCGAAGUAGUGAUAUUACGCAUCGGAGAGCGAUGAGCCCCUGCCGUUAAACCCCCAACUUUCCAAGGUUGACCUCAGAUCAGGUAGGAAUACCCGCUGAACUUAAGCAUAUCAAUAAGCGGAGGA
rnacentral:misc_RNA from 1 species